rnacentral:rRNA from 1 species
UACAGGGGGUGCUAGCGUUGUUCGGAAUUACUGGGCGUAAAGGGCGCGUAGGCGGCCAUGUAAGUCAGGAGUGAAAUCCCGGAGCUUAACUUCGGAAUUGCUUUUGAAACUACAUGGCUAGAGUGAGUUAGAGGAUGGCGGAAUUCCUAGUGUAGUGGUGAAAUACGUAGAUAUUAGGAAGAACACCGGUGGCGAAGGCGGCCAUCUGGGACUCAACUGACGCUGAGGCGCGAAAGCCAGGGGAGCAAACGGG